GGCGGGUCUCCUCGCAUUGCGGGUUGGUUCAUCGGGUCAGGUCCGGAAGGAAGCAGCCCACGCCUUCCCCCGUAAGUGCCGGGGGUCAGGCUCGCCACA
rnacentral:SRP_RNA from 1 species